GCCUGAGUGGCUUGGUCAGUUAAGCAUUUGACUUUGGUUCAGGUCAUAAUCUCAUGGUUCAUGGGUUUGAACCCCACAUCAGGCU
rnacentral:tRNA from 1 species